UGGGGAAUAUUGGACAAUGGGCGAAAGCCUGAUCCAGCCAUGCCGCGUGUGUGAAGAAGGCCUUUCGGUUGUAAAGCACUUUAAGCGAGGAGGAGGCUACUUAGAUUAAUACUCUAGGAUAGUGGACGUUACUCGCAGAAUAAGCACCGGCUAACUCUGUGCCAGCAGCCGCGGUAAUACAGAGGGUGCGAGCGUUAAUCGGAUUUACUGGGCGUAAAGCGUGCGUAGGCGGCUUCUUAAGUCGGAUGUGAAAUCCCUGAGCUUAACUUAGGAAUUGCAUUCGAUACUGGGAAGCUAGAGUAUGGGAGAGGAUGGUAGAAUUCCAGGUGUAGCGGUGAAAUGCGUAGAGAUCUGGAGGAAUACCGAUGGCGAAGGCAGCCAUCUGGCCUAAUACUGACGCUGAGGUACGAAAGCAUGGGGAGCAAACAGG
rnacentral:rRNA from 1 species